GGCUCUAGCGAUAAACAUUCGUUAGAUGGAUAUUCUCUUCAGUUCUUUUUAUUAGUUCGAACAUUGGCAUUCAAGCGUCACGAUUUUAAUCGUUCUUUUUCUGAACACGUAGAAUUUCUUUUAUCAAAUAUCAAAUCAAAAUAAAUAUCGUACGUAUCACAUAUCGCGAAAUUACGCUGAAUCGCGGUUCGAAUAAUAGAGGCACAGCGUUAAUUUGUACGUAUGAACGGAGUGCGGGUAAAUCAGGUUCUAUUGUAUUCGCACUACACGGUUGAAUCUCGUUUAUCGAUGAACGACCGAUGGACAAGACAGCUCGGACAACCGGAGCAGUUCCGAUAAUCGAGGUUUAUUGGCUAUCAACUCUAGCGCUUCUUAUUAGUUCGGGUAAUAAGAUUUAACCGCUAAGAUCUCAACUGCUCCUUCUUUGAAAUUUACUUUCCACGCGAAUAAAUGAUUCUAUAUGUCGAUACGUAAUAUUCGUUAUAUAACUAGACUGCGGAUAUUUAUGCAAACUUGCACGUUUAUGAAGGCGAUUAAAAGAGCAGAAUCUUGUCGUACGAACAAUGCUAGUUAUACAAUAAGAUAUGUAAGAAAACAAAAUCUCUUCGCGAUUUCACGAUCUUGAAUUAAUUAAUGCUCAGCUGGCAAACGUAUUAAUCUUUUUCCUUGGUACUACCGAUGCAUUCAGGAUGUUCAUUUGCAAACAUUUGCAAGACUUACGUAAAACUAACAAGCACGCGCCGUAUUCUUCUAUAAAAUGAUACAAAUCUUGCUUGCAAUUCGUUCGGUUUGGAAUCGAUGCCAUUUUCUAUCCACAGCGGGACAACACAAGUCCUCCGAUCUUCCUAUAUCCACGAAAUCCCGCAAUCUCACGAUUCUCAGUUAUUUUUUUCUUGUAAGGAUGAAAAAACAUAAAUCGUCUGCCAUGUUCACGCGAUCUCGCGUGUUUUACGUGAAAUUUCGCGGAGUCGGGAAACUUCGACUUUAACUUUGCUCUCUUGCCGAUAAUGAUAGGUGUCCGAAGAGAGAUACUUCUGCACGCGUUGAAACAUUGAUCAUCGAGCUUGCGAGCACAACGCGCGGAUUCUCACGCGUCGCAUUAACUUUAAUAAAACCGAUGACGGUGAAAAAGGAGGAUGGGGAAGAAAGGUGGAAAAACGAAUCGCCAAAUAUAGACAGACCGAGCCGGCACGACGAAAACUCGCGGGACUCGCGGCAAAGUGAACUGUUCUUCGGGCAAUUUAUAUUUCUACCAAUAAGAAAUUCGAGCCCGAUUUCAAUUCAGUGGAAAAUUCAUAUUUAAAAGCUGGCGCAAACAAAGCUACGUAGACAUGAGCGAUGACAAAACGAAACGUGAAUUCGAAAAAACGAUCGAUCUAAAUUUGACUCUGCUGAGAUUGACCGGUGUAGUUUCGAGCGAAAGAGCGAGCAGAGAUACGUUGGCGAGCUUGGCGUUCGUUUGCAUGACAAUUAACACCAUUUCGUACGUGUACGAAUUUGCAACGAGUUCGUACACUCUGGCCACAGUUUUGGAAUCAUUUGCGAUGAUCAUCCCACUCGUAGCAGGACAAACGCGACUCGUGAUUCUCUUGUGGUUGCGCGAUUCUUGUCAAACAAUGUUGAACAUUUGCGAGUCUUUCUGGUCGACUUUAAAUUCGCACGAAAAGAAGAUCGUUCAAAGUUACACGAACAAGGCGAAACUAUUGAGUCGCUGCUACUUGUUUAGCUGCAUUUCAACCAUAUUCUUCUACGUGCUGUUGAUAGAAUUUCGCUCUUUGAUAUUUAGCGAACCGAAGCAUUUUGCAAAUGUUACGGUUUAUGGAAACAAUAGCAGCUUUGUUCCGUCGGAAGCUGUGAAAUCUCCGCAAGUGACGGACGAUAAGCGACGAUAUUUACCAUACGCGUUUUUUAUCGACGUGCAAGAAACACCGUGGUACGAGAUCGCGUACUUUGUUCAACUUGGCUCCAUGAUCAGCGUCGGUUUGACCUGUGUCGGCGUGGACACAACUGGGCCAUUGCUUAUCCUGAUCGCGUGUGGGUAUUUCGACACGAUUCAAUCUAGAAUUAAAAAUUCCUAUUCGUUUGAAUCACCGUCAUCGUCACCGAUUUUGGCGUCGUUAUCAAUUGCAACAAAGACGAAGACCGCAACGGAAACCACGUCGGUUACAAGAAUAGAAUCGUCGUCAAGGAAUAUAGGCAUGAAAAAUUUGCGAACAUGCCUGAAUCAUCAUCAACUGUUACUAAAAUUGUGCGAGGAUAUCGAAAACUUGACAAAUAUAAUGUUUCUGAUACAACUGAUCACCAGCACGUACAAUAUCUCAUUGAUUGGCUUCAAAAUAGUCGAGGACAAUCCCGGCAAGGUCAAGUUCGUCACGCAACUUGGCAUCUUUAUUAUUCAGCUUUUUCUCUGCAAUUGGCCACCGGAUCUUCUUCGAUCGAAGGUGGAGCAGGUGACGAGCAGCUUGGACGAAGAUCGCGCAUCCGAGCGCAAGAACUCGACAGUGAACGGGAUGAAUUCAGAGAACGACGUUUAGAGGCUGAGACGCGUUCCAGAGGAAAGUUGGAUGCGUAGAGCCUGCGAGGCAUUGAGUCGCUACGGGAGAAAGUAGGAGAACCGGAGCAACAGCUGCUGAAAACUAUCGCCCAACGGUGUAAAAACUCGAGCUACUCGAGAAAGAAAGGCUCAAUUGAGGAAAAACGCAGAACUGGAACAGAAAUGUUGGGCAUACAAAGGUCGGAACGCUGUUUCACAGAAAAUGAAGAAGCAAGUCGAUGAGUUAAAGGGGUGUCUGUACAGACCAAGGACGAGUGAUAGAUCACUCUCUCAGAUGAUAUCCACCGCUGCUUCGUUCUUCACCAUGAUGCGAAGCAUGAACUGACCUUCGUUUCGUGAAACACUGACCAUGAAAGUACGCCAUCCAGGAUACGAAGAGAAUGUUACCUUCUUCACGCCCGUCCGAUAAUCAUUGUAUUAGAUGUCAUUCGAGUAUUUCCAGCGAAUACCAUUAAUGGAAUAAACACGGUUGACUGAGAA